rnacentral:rRNA from 1 species
GACGAACGCUGGCGGCGUGCUUAACACAUGCAAGUCGAACGGAAAGGCCCUGCUUGCAGGGUGCUCGAGUGGCGAACGGGUGAGUAACACGUGGGUGAUCUGCCCCUUACUUUGGGAUAAGCCUGGGAAACUGGGUCUAAUACUGGAUAGGACCAUGCUGUAGGUGGUGUGGUGGAAAGAUUAGUUUCGGUAAGGGAUGAGCUCGCGGCCUAUCAGCUUGUUGGUGGGGUAAUGGCCUACCAAGGCGUCGACGGGUAGCCGGCCUGAGAGGGUGGACGGCCACAUUGGGACUGAGAUACGGCCCAGCAUCCUACGGGAGGCAGCAGUGGGGAAUAUUGCACAAUGGGCGCAAGCCUGAUGCAGCGACGCCGCGUGGGGGAUGACGGCCUUCGGGUUGUAAACUCCUUUCAGCCAUGACGAAGCCCUUGUGGUGACGGUAGUGGUAGAAGAAGCACCGGCUAACUACGUG